GCCGUGCUAAACAGGUUGUGCAAGAUCAGCGCCGUCUGAAGCUCUCAAAUGAUCCAAUCGUUGAUCGAUAGUGAUGGAAAAAAUCAACUCCUGUGAGAAAAGAAACCCUUUCUCAUUGGAGAGGACAAGCAUUUUGCACUACUGCUGCUGUCCUAGGAGGAAAGAGCUUGGCAUCUCAGAUAUCUGAGUUCUAUCCAAUCAGAGAGUAAUAUGAAAAUAAGGGUUUUUAAUAUCUAUAUUAAUAUUAUACCAUG